GGUUGUGAUCAUACCGGCACUAAUGCACUAAAUCUCAUCAAAAGUUCAAAAUUAAGUGUGCUUGGACGACAAUAUAUAAAGACCAAUGCAUCGGAUUCC
rnacentral:rRNA from 1 species